rnacentral:rRNA from 1 species
UACGUAGGUGGCAAGCGUUGUCCGGAUUUACUGGGCGUAAAGGGCGUGCAGGCGGUCUGUUAAGUCUAGGGUGAAAGCUCCCGGCUCAACUGGGAGAGGUCCUUGGAUACUGGCGGACUUGAGGGAGGCAGAGGAAAGUGGAAUUCCCGGUGUAGUGGUGAUAUGCGUAGAGAUCCGGAGGAAGACCGGUGGCGAAGGCGGCCUGCUGGGCAGUUACUGACACUGAUGCGCGAAAGCGUGGGGAGCAAACAGG